CUCCGUCCCGAAAUUCAUGUCGCAGCUUACAUUUUGCAGAAAACCCCUCCAUCUUAUACCGACAGAACCCGCAGUCCCCGUUCCCCUCCGACUGCGCAGCUCGCCCACGCUCGGUCGCUCGCCCACUUGCCGGCGACGCCUAGCAGCUCCCCCACGCCGAGCCGCGGCUCCCCCGCGCCGCCCUGCCGCGCCGCAGCUCGCCCGCGCAGCUCCCCCGCCUAGUUCUCUCCUCCCUACCCUGCAAAUACUGCUUCCGCCGCGCCACAGCUCCCCCGCGAAGCUCAAGGAACGGCUUUGCCCCUUCCUUGAGUCCCUCGUCAUCGCCUUCCUCGAGUCCCUCGUCGUCGGCUCAUCGCCAUGGCUUGUGCCCUCCUUCCUUCUCCAUGGUGAGCUCCUCCCUGCUGCCUCCAUCCAUGUCCGCCAUCGAGCAGGCCAUGGUGGCGGCCAGAUCCGCGCCUGCUCGUCAGGAGACGGACGCCAUGGAGCUGUUCGUCAAGGUCCGACCUUGGUGAGUGCCGACGCCAAGCAGGGCGUCGAGCAGGCGUGCUCCGCCGGUGAGUCGCUCUAGAAGGAGCUUGAGGAGAUGGGUGUGCCGGUGUGUCAAGAUCUGUCGCUGGUGUGCUGUAAGGAGUAGAAUUCUGAAUUUAAGUUGGAGACAACAUUUCUGAACCUUGUACAGAACUGGGCUUUACACAACUGGGUGUUUUCAGGUACUCCAUCAGAGGAGCAGCUCUUCCAUGGGGUCCAGCAGCGUUUCCAGUCGCAGGUAUACGUAUUGUCUGAAACUAUGUACUCCUUGCGACGAGCCAGACGACAAGAGCAAAGGCUCCCCCUUGCAAGCUCGACGGUAGCGGCGGCGUCUUCUUCGCAGCAGUACGAAGAGAUCACAAUCUUACUAAGAUCCUGUUCCUGGGCGGGUUAGUGGCCGUCGACCACAACCACCACCACCAGUAGCCGGCGGCCGAAGUGGACCAGCGCGGCGGCCGAAUCGGGGGCGAAGUGGACCAGCGCUGCGGCGGUGGGCGGCAGAAUUGGGGGCAAAUUGGACCAGCGUGGCGGCGGUGGACGGCGGAAUCGGGGGCAAAGUGGACCAGCGCAACGGCGGUGGGUGGCGGAGGCCCUGCUCGUGGGUGGGCAGCGGAGGUCCUCCUGGGCGGGCUCGUCGGCGGCGCAGGGCCUGUUGUGGGCGGCCUCUUGGGCGGGCUCGUCGGCAGAGCAGGACCUGCUCGGGCAAUGGGCGGCUGGCCAUGGCGCCGCGCGGGCGACGGACGGAGGAGGAAGAACGAGAUGGGGACUAAUUUGUCUGAGCUUUAGAAGUUCAAGGGCUUUUCCGCAAAAACAUCACCGUACUGCGCGUGCGACAUGUUUUUCAGGACGGAGUAUAAAAGAAAUUAAAGAAAGCCACCUAGUGGCUGCCGCCUAGCGGCCCUACGGGAACGACAAUCGACGCGUUGUAGCCAGGAGCACAUCUAUCAUAAGGCCGAGCCGAUCCCGGUAACGCUGCCUUAACGGCGGGUGCCAGUCCUGCUGCCUUAACGGCGGGUGCCAGUCCUGCAGAAAAGCAAGAAAUUUGAAGGAGUCAGACACUUAUCUCGGGAAGACCUCAGUCACCAUCUACUGUCAAGACCAAAUUUUGUGUAAUUUCUGUUCCUCUCACAGGAUGAAUGGUGCUUACUCUCUCCGUCUCGGUGUAUAAGUCACUCCCGUAGUUCUAGGUCAUUGAUUUGAGAAAUUAAAUGUGUUAUAUGUCAU